UACAGAGGGGGCAAGCGUUGUUCGGAAUUACUGGGCGUAAAGGGCGCGUAGGCGGCCUUCUAAGUCGAACGUGAAAUCCCCGGGCUCAACCCGGGACUGCGUCCGAUACUGGAAGGCUUGAAUCCGGGAGAGGGAUGCGGAAUUCCAGGUGUAGCGGUGAAAUGCGUAGAUAUCUGGAGGAACACCGGUGGCGAAGGCGGCAUCCUGGACCGGCAUUGACGCUGAGGCGCGAAAGCCAGGGGAGCAAAGCGGG
rnacentral:rRNA from 1 species